AACGAACGCUGGCGGCAUGCCUAACACAUGCAAGUCGAACGGGUACCUUCGGGUGCUAGUGGCGCACGGGUGCGUAACGCGUGGGAAUCUGCCCUCGGGUUCGGAAUAACUCAGCGAAAGCUGUGCUAAUACCGGAUGAUGUCGAAAGACCAAAGAUUUAUCGCCCGAGGAUGAGCCCGCGUUGGAUUAGCUAGUUGGUGGGGUAAAGGCCUACCAAGGCGACGAUCCAUAGCUGGUCUGAGAGGAUGAUCAGCCACACUGGGACUGAGACACGGCCCAGACUCCUACGGGAGGCAGCAGUGGGGAAUAUUGGACAAUGGGCGAAAGCCUGAUCCAGCAAUGCCGCGUGAGUGAUGAAGGCCUUAGGGUUGUAAAGCUCUUUUACCCGGGAUGAUAAUGACAGUACCGGGAGAAUAAGCUCCGGCUAACUCCGUG
rnacentral:rRNA from 1 species